rnacentral:rRNA from 1 species
GACGAACGCUGGCGGCGUGCUUAACACAUGCAAGUCGAACGGAAGGGCCCUGCUUUUGUGGGGUGCUCGAGUGGCGAACGGGUGAGUAGCACGUGAGUAACCUGCCCUUGACUUUGGGAUAACUUCAGGAAACUGGGGCUAAUACCGGAUAGGAGCUCCUGCUGCAUGGUGGGGGUUGGAAAGUUUCGGCGGUUGGGGAUGGACUCGCGGCUUAUCAGCUUGUUGGUGGGGUAGUGGCUUACCAAGGCUUUGACGGGUAGCCGGCCUGAGAGGGUGACCGGCCACAUUGGGACUGAGAUACGGCCCAGACUCCUACGGGAGGCAGCAGUGGGGAAUAUUGCACAAUGGGCGGAAGCCUGAUGCAGCAACGCCGCGUGCGGGAUGACGGCCUUCGGGUUGUAAACCGCUUUCGCCUGUGACGAAGCGUGAGUGACGGUAAUGGGUAAAGAAGCACCGGCUAACUACGUG